UAGGGAAUCUUCGGCAAUGGACGGAAGUCUGACCGAGCAACGCCGCGUGAGUGAAGAAGGUUUUCGGAUCGUAAAGCUCUGUUGUAAGAGAAGAACGAGUGUGAGAGUGGAAAGUUCACACUGUGACGGUAUCUUACCAGAAAGGGACGGCUAACUACGUGCCAGCAGCCGCGGUAAUACGUAGGUCCCGAGCGUUGUCCGGAUUUAUUGGGCGUAAAGCGAGCGCAGGCGGUUAGAUAAGUCUGAAGUUAAAGGCUGUGGCUUAACCAUAGUAGGCUUUGGAAACUGUUUAACUUGAGUGCAAGAGGGGAGAGUGGAAUUCCAUGUGUAGCGGUGAAAUGCGUAGAUAUAUGGAGGAACACCGGUGGCGAAAGCGGCUCUCUGGCUUGUAACUGACGCUGAGGCUCGAAAGCGUGGGGAGCAAACAGGAUUAGAUACCCUGGUAGUCCACGCUGUAAACGAUGAGUGCUAGGUGUUAGACCCUUUCCGGGGUUUAGUGCCGUAGCUAACGCAUUAACACUCCGCCUGGGGAGUACGACCGCAAGGUU
rnacentral:rRNA from 1 species